UACAGAGGGGGCAAGCGUUAUUCGGAAUUACUGGGCGUAAAGCGUGCGUAGUCGGUUAUCUAAGUCAGGUGUGAAAUCCCCGGGCUCAACCUGGGAAUUGCAUUUGAUACUGGAUAGCUAGAGUUCGGCAGAGGGAAGUGGAAUUUCUGGUGUAGCGGUGAAAUGCGUAGAUAUCAGAAGGAACAUCAGUGGCGAAAGCGACUUCCUGGACCAGAACUGACGAUCAGGCACGAAAGCGUGGGGAGCAAACAGG
rnacentral:rRNA from 1 species